GAUGAAGAACGCAGCAAAAUGCGAUAAGUAAUGUGAAUUGCAGAAUUCAGUGAAUCAUCGAAUCUUUGAACGCACAUUGCGCCCGCCAGUAUUCUGGCGGGCAUGCCUGUUCGAGCGUCAUUUCAACCCUCAAGCCCAGCUUGGUGUUGGGAUCUGUCCUUACCGACAGUCCCCAAAUUGAUUGGCGGUCACGUCGAGCUUCCAUAGCGUAGUAAUUUACACAUCGUUACUGGUAAUCGUCGCGGCCACGCCGUUAAACCCCAACUUCUGAAUGUUGACCUCGGAUCAGGUAGGAAUACCCGCUGAACUUAAGCAUAUCAAUAAGCGUAGGA
rnacentral:misc_RNA from 1 species